CUCCUAUCUACUAUCUAGCGAAACCACAGCCAAGGGAACGGGCUUGGCAGAAUCAGCGGGGAAAGAAGACCCUGUUGAGCUUGACUCUAGUCUGACUCUGUGAAGAGACAUGAGAGGUGUAGCAUAAGUGGGAGGCCCUUUAACCGGGGACCGACAGUGAAAUACCACUACUCUCAUCGUUUCUUUACUUACUCGGUGAGGCGGGGAGCGAGUGUUUCCAGCACUCACAAUUCUAGCGCCAAGUCUGGGAAGGGUGUUUCAGGUAAAACGGCUGAUCGGCUUAACGGUUGGUUCUGCCCGUUCGUCCGAACGCCCAACAUUUCCCAGGCGACCCGCUCCGAGGACACUGUCAGGCGGGGAGUUUGACUGGGGCGGUACAUCUGUCAAAAGGUAACGCAGGUGUCCUAAGGCGAGCUCAGCGAGGACAGAAACCUCGCGUAGAGUAAAAGGGCAAAAGCUUGCUUGAUCCCGAUUUUCAGUACGAAUACGGACCGCGAAAGCGUGGCCUAUCGAUCCUUUUGACUUUAUGAGUUUUAAGCAAGAGGUGUCAGAAAAGUUACCACAGGGAUAAC
rnacentral:rRNA from 1 species